rnacentral:rRNA from 1 species
UACGUAGGGCGCGAGCGUUGUCCGGAAUUAUUGGGCGUAAAGAGCUCGUAGGCGGUCUGUCGCGUCUGCUGUGAAAACUCGGGGCUUAACCCCGGGCCUGCAGUGGGUACGGGCAGACUAGAGUGCGGUAGGGGAGACUGGAAUUCCUGGUGUAGCGGUGAAAUGCGCAGAUAUCAGGAGGAACACCGGUGGCGAAGGCGGGUCUCUGGGCCGUAACUGACGCUGAGGAGCGAAAGCGUGGGGAGCGAACAGG